rnacentral:rRNA from 1 species
GACGAACGCUGGCGGCGUGCUUAACACAUGCAAGUCGAACGGAAAGGCCUGCUUUCCCUUGUGGAUUGCGGAUACUCGAGUGGCGAACGGGUGAGUAACACGUGAGUGAUCUGCCCCCAACUUGGGUAUAAGCCUGGGAAACUGGGUCUAAUUCCCGAUAGGACUGCAGGGUGGUGCCUGUGGUGGAAAACGAUUUUCUAGUGGUUGGGGAUGAGCUCGCGGCCUAUCAGCUUGUUGGUGGGGUAAUGGCCUACCAAGGCGGCGACGGGUAGCCGGCCUGAGAGGGUGGACGGCGACAUUGGGACUGAGAUACGGCCCAGACUCCUACGGGAGGCAGCAGUGGGGAAUAUUGCGCAAUGAGCGGAAGCCUGAUGCAGCGACGCCGCGUAGAGGAUGACGGCCUUCGGGUGGUAAACUCCUUUCGACCGCGAGGAAGCCACCUGGUUGGAAGGGUGGUGACGGUAGUGGUAGAAGAAGCACCGGCUAACUACGUG